CUCUUCUUCUGAUCCCGUGCCCUAAGCCUCUCGACGCCUCUCCCUUCUCCCCUCUCGCUCGACGCCGUCUCUCCCUCACGCAACGCCGAGCCACCGCCGCCUUCUUCCUCCCGAUCUCUUCUCCCUCAUUUGCGCCGAACACCCAAUUCCUCUCCCUUCCUCCCCCCUCGCGACGCCGAGCCACUGCCGAAGCCUUCUCAUCUUCCCCAUCGCGCCGACUUCACUGCUCUCCUCUCCCAAUCUUCGACCGUCACUGCCAACGUCGACUGCUGGACGCCGAGCGCCACCGAUCUUCUCCUUAGGGGUCGAGGAUAGAAGUCGAGCAUCUGAGACGAUCUGUCGCCGGUGCCAUCUGUCGCCGAUUUAGGGAUUCCAGCAGCCUGAUUGAGUGGCUACAUUUGGAUUUGGCCACAAAUUUCGACAUAUUCCUUCAGUAGUGGAUCAACAGGGGAGCAUUUGAGAUUUGGGACAUUGAUUCGAGAUGGGUGUAUCGACGUAGGAUUUUUGGUCACAAUCGACUGAUAAAGUACAUAGAUAUAUCGUGUCACUUGGAGUAUCCUUUCUGCCGGUCCCACGUCACAUCAGAAGAUGGUUUACCUCAUUCUUGAUUUUUUUUUAUAUAUUCUUUAUUGAUUUAGCUUUGUAUUGGUGUUUAGUCAUGUGGCUAUUCUAUUGUUUUGGUGUUGUAUUUGUGUUUAAGUCGUGUCGACAUGCAUUGUGUUGUUUUGGUUAUAUGGGCUUCCUGCUUAUUUGUUCGCUGUGUGUUUAGCACAACCGUGUGGGUUGUUUAAUAUAUAUAACUGCGUAGUUGUGUUUUUAGAACAACCGUGUGGGUUGUUCAAUAUAUAUAACUGCGUGAUUGUGUAAAUUCCAGCCAAGUGGGCUGAUGUAUUUUGUUUGUGAUGUAUUCAUGCUUUAGAUUGUCACUGGUACAGCGGAGAUGCUGCCGAUUUUUCCUCUGAUAGGGACUCUUCUGCAGUGUGACAAUUUAUUAGUAUCAGAGCCACAGAUUUACGAUGUAUAUUUUCUU